AUGGCCGCGGCAGAGCGGCUCCGAUCGGUGCCGUUUGACGUGGACAUCACGGUGCCCGUGCGGCUGCAGCUCGGCGGCGUGAGGACGUGGGCCGUGCCGGUGACGGUUCGGUGCGCCAUGACGGUGGACAGGCUCGCCGCCAGCGCCAAGGUGGUGUCCAGGCCAUGCGACGUCAAUGUGCCGUUCUGGAGGAACUGA
rnacentral:rRNA from 1 species